rnacentral:rRNA from 1 species
CAGCUAGUUGGUAAGGUAAUGGCUUACCAAGGCUACGAUGUUUAGGGGAUCUGAGAGGAUGACCCCCCACACUGGUACUGAGACACGGACCAGACUCCUACGGGAGGCAGCAGUAAGGAAUAUUGGUCAAUGGGCGGAAGCCUGAACCAGCCAUGCCGCGUGCAGGAAGACGGCCCUACGGGUUGUAAACUGCUUUUGCAGGGGAAUAAACCCCGGUAUGUAUAUCGGGUUGAAUGUACUCUGAGAAUAAGGAUCGGCUAACUCCGUGCCAGCAGCCGCGGUAAUACGGAGGAUCCAAGCGUUAUCCGGAUUUAUUGGGUUUAAAGGGUGCGUAGGCGGCCUAUUAAGUCAGGGGUGAAAGACGGUAGCUUAACUAUCGCAGUGCCUUUGAUACUGAUGGGCUUGAAUGUAGUUGAGGUAGGCGGAAUGUGACAAGUAGCGGUGAAAUGCAUAGAUAUGUCACAGAACACCAAUUGCGAAGGCAGCUUACUAAAGUAUGAUUGACGCUGAGGCACGAAAGCGUGGGGAUCAAACAGGAUUAGAUACUCUGGUA